UUUGGUUAAGUUAGAAAGGGCGCACGGUGGAUGCCUUGGCACUAGGAGCCGAAGAAGGACGCGACGAACGGCGAAACGCCUCGGGGAGCUGUAAGUAAGCUUUGAUCCGGGGAUAUCCGAAUGGGGGAACCCACCAUCCGUAAUGGGAUGGUACCCAUACCUGAAUCUAUAGGGUAUGAGGAGGCAGACCUGGGGAACUGAAACAUCUAAGUACCCAGAGGAAGAGAAAGCAAAUGCGAUUUCCUGAGUAGCGGCGAGCGAAACGGGAACAGCCCAAACCAAGAGGCUUGCCUCUUGGGGUUGUAGGACACUCUAUACGGAGUCAGAAAGAAACGAAGUAGGUGAAGCGACCUGGAAAGGUCCGUCACAGAAGGUAACAACCCUGUAGCCGAAACUUCGUUUCCUCCAGAGUGGAUCCUGAGUACGGCGGGACACGUGAAACCCCGUCGGAAGCUGGGAGGACCAUCUCCCAAGGCUAAAUACUCCCUAGUGACCGAUAGUGAACCAGUACCGUGAGGGAAAGGUGAAAAGCACCCCGGAAGGGGAGUGAAAAAGAUCCUGAAACCGUGUGCCUACAACUAGUUGGAGCCCAUUAACGGGUGACAGCGUGCCUUUUGUAGAAUGAACCGGCGAGUUACGAUGUCGUGCAAGGUUAAGCUGAAAAAGCGGAGCCGCAGCGAAAGCGAGUCUGAAUAGGGCGAAAUAGUACGCCGUCGUAGACCCGAAACCGUGUGAUCUACCCAUGUCCAGGGUGAAGUUCAGGUAACACUGAAUGGAGGCCCGAACCCACGCAUGUUGAAAAAUGCGGGGAUGAGGUGUGGGUAGGGGUGAAAUGCCAAUCGAACUCGGAAAUAGCUGGUUCUCCCCGAAAUAGCUUUAGGGCUAGCCUCGAGGGAAGAGUCUUGGAGGUAGAGCACUGAUUGGACUAGGGGUCCCCACCGGAUUACCGAAUUCAGUCAAACUCCGAAUGCCAAUGACUUAUCCUCGGGAGUCAGACUGCGAGUGCUAAGAUCCGUAGUCAAGAGGGAAACAGCCCAGACCAUCAGCUAAGGUCCCAAAGUAUACGUUAAGUGGAAAAGGAUGUGGAGUUGCCCAGACAACCAGGAUGUUGGCUUAGAAGCAGCCACCAUUUAAAGAGUGCGUAAUAGCUCACUGGUCGAGUGACUCUGCGCCGAAAAUGUACCGGGGCUAAACGUAUCACCGAAGCUAUGGAUUCGCACCGUUGGUGCGAGUGGUAGGGGAGCGUUCUACGUGCAGCGAAGUCAGACCGAGAGGACUGGUGGAGCGCGUAGAAGUGAGAAUGCCGGUAUGAGUAGCGAAAAGAGGGGUGAGAAUCCCCUCCGUCGAAAGCCCAAGGUUUCCUGAGGAAGGCUCGUCCGCUCAGGGUUAGUCGGGACCUAAGCCGAGGCCGAAAGGCGUAGGCGAUGGACAACAGGUGGAAAUUCCUGUACCACCUCCUCACCGUUUGAGCAAUGGGGGGACGCAGAAAGGUAGGGUAAGCGCGCUGAUGGA
rnacentral:rRNA from 2 species